rnacentral:tRNA from 1 species
GCUUAUGUAGCUUAUAAAAUAAAAGCAAGGCACUGAAAAUGCCUAGAAGAAUAUAUAUAUUAUUCCAUAAACA